CGUGUAGGCGGCCUGAUGUGUCAGAUGUGAAAGCCCUGGGCUCAACCCAGGAAGUGCAUUUGAAACUGUCAGGCUUGAGUAGGGGAGAGGGAAGUGGGAAUUCCUGGUGUAGAGGUGAAAUUCGUAGAUAUCAGGAGGAACACCGGUGGCGAAGGCGACUUCCUGGCCCUAUACUGACGCUGAGACGCGAGAGCGUGGGUAGCAAACA
rnacentral:rRNA from 1 species